AUGAGCCAUCGCGCCUGGCCUCCUGUCAUUCCUUCAGUGUGAUGCCCUGUGCCUGGCCUGAGAGAUAUGCACAUGAUCUUGUUUACCGUAUGCCCCUCCACAGCCCUGGGAGGAGGCACACAUACUGUCAUCCUACAUGACAGAUGAGAAAACUGAGGCUCAGCCAGGCCAGGCUUACUCAAGUCCACACAGCUGGAAGCGGAGCAGACCGGAGCCAGAUGUUGAGACAAUGCUCUUAGCCCAGGGCAGGUCUUUGAGGACUCUCACAUGUCUGCAGCUGGGACCCCCUCCAGACCACGAGCCUCUCAACCCCUCCCUGAAGAGGCAGUGGUGUGCUUUAUCCACAGAUGCUUGCGUCUCCAGCUUUAUCCACGGAUGCUUGCGUCUCCAGCUUUAUCCACGGAUGCUUGCGUCUCCAGCUUUAUCCACGGAUGCUUGCGUCUCCAGCUUUAUCCACGGAUGCUUGCGUCUCCAGCUUUAUCCACGGAUGCUUGCGUCUCCAGCUUUAUCCAUGGAUGCUUGCGUCUCCAGCUUCCCUUCUUCUGCAGUCCGAUGCUCUACCCCUGAGCUAUACCCCCGCCCCUUCCCUUCUUCUGGCUUCUGGGUCUUCCAGGAACCUUGGACAACCUGUGAAGCCAUUAGCACUAUCAGCCUGUAAUAGGGAACUACGAGCCCUGCUGACCAGGGAGUCUCUGAAUCCCAGAACCCUGAAGCCACUUGGCCAAGGUCACAGAGGUGGAAAAAGGAGGAGCUGGACGCCAGUGUAGAUGGUGAAAUUAGACCCAUUACAUCUUCUGGAGAAACUGGAAGGGGCUUGCAGUAGGUUGAAUGGUGGCCGCCCCAGAAGAUAUGUCCUUGGAACCUGCUAAUGAAACCUUACUUGAAAAAGGCAUCUUUGGGCCGGGCACAGUGGCUCACACCUGUAAUCCCAGCACUUUGCGAGGCCAAGGCCAGUGGAUCACCUGA